rnacentral:rRNA from 1 species
GACCAGACUCCUACGGGAGGCAGUAGUGAGGAAUAUUGGUCAAUGGCCGAGAGGCUGAACCAGCCAAGUCGCGUGAGGGAAGACGGCCCUACGGGUUGUAAACCUCUUUUGUCGGGGAGCAAAGCGAGUCACGUGUGACUCAUUGAGAGUACCCGAAGAAAAAGCAUCGGCUAACUCCGUGCCAGCAGCCGCGGUAAUACGGAGGAUGCGAGCGUUAUCCGGAUUUAUUGGGUUUAAAGGGUGCGUAGGCGGACUGGAAAGUCAGCGGUAAAAUCGAGAGGCUCAACCUCUUUCCGCCGUUGAAACUGUCAGUCUUGAGUGGGCGAGAAGUAUGCGGAAUGCGUGGUGUAGCGGUGAAAUGCAUAGAUAUCACGCAGAACUCCGAUUGCGAAGGCAGCAUACCGGCGCCCGACUGACGCUGAGGCACGAAAGCGUGGGUAUCGAACAGGAUUAGAUACCCCAGUA